GAUGAACGCUAGCUACAGGCUUAACACAUGCAAGUCGAGGGACCGGCGCACGGGUGAGUAACACGUAUCCACCCUGCCCUUUACUCGGGGAUAGCCUUUCGAAAGAAAGAUUAAUACCCUCUAUAAAGGAUGGGUAUGCGUUCCAUUAGGUUGUUGGUGAGGUAACGGCUCACCAAGCCUUCGAUGGAUGGGGGUUCUGAGAGUAAGCUCCCCCAGAUUGGAAAUGAGACACGGUCCAAACUCGUACGGGAGGGAGGAGUGAGGAAGAUUGGGCAAUGGGGGCUAGCCUGAACCAGCCAAGUAGCGGGAAGGAGGAAGGCUUAUGGGUCGUAAACUACUUUUAUAUAAGAAGAGGUAUUAGAUGAAUAAGGAUCGGCUAACUCCGUGCCAGCAGCCGCGGUAAUUC
rnacentral:rRNA from 1 species